AGCAAUGCCCUAGCGGCGGACGGGUGAGUAACACGUGGAUAACCUGCCUCAUGCUCUGGGAUAACAAACCGAAAGGCUUGCUAAUACCGGGUAAGCUCACGCCAUCGCAUGGUGGUGGGAGAAAAGGCGCUGCAAGGCGCUGGGAUGAGAGGGGUCCGCGGUCGAUUAGCUAGUUGGGGUGGUAAAGGCACACCAAGGCGACGAUCGAUAGCCGGCCUGAGAGGGCGAUCGGCCACACUGGGACUGAGACACGGCCCAGACUCC
rnacentral:rRNA from 2 species